GCCUGGGAGGGCAGAAGAGGGUGCAUGAGUUGCUUCAUGCUGCCUGCUUACACGCAUUGGCACUGCAGCUGCCACCCUUGUGCCCGCGGAGAUGGGAGGAAGCGAAUGGGGAGGGGGACAGCCGCAGGAGUCCUGGUGGUCUGAGAGGGAGACUCGGUACCUGGGAGCCAUUGGCAUCACACCCGUCAGGCUGGUGCCCCGAGCUGGGGCAGUGGGAACAGGGGCCCCAGGAGGCAGAGAGGAGGGGCAGAGAUGUGUUAAUGAUGUUUCUGUCUCUCUGGAGCUCAGCUCUGAGAAACAGUUGAACUAUGAGGUAGUUAGCCUUCUUCUAGUCUGGGAAAGUGAAGUGGUGGAAAGAGUAGCCAGGGAAGUGCCAAGAAAGUGUCUAAGAGCAGGAGAAGGGAUCGUGCCACUGCUCCCUGGGGGAGCUCCUCAGGGCUGGCCUUUGUGAAAAGCACGGGGAUGUGGGCGUGAAGCAAUGGGUGCUGGCACUGCCCAUGGAGCCUGGCAGAGGCUCUGGCAUUGUGUGGAAUGGAGGAGGGUAGAAGUGCCUCUUGCCAAUCUGGUUGAGAAGAUUGCUGUGUGCCAGGAAUGAGAAGGGAGGUGAGAUGGUGUGUGUGUGUGUGUGUGUGUGUGUGUGUGUGUGUGUGUGUGUGAGAGAGAGAGAGAGAGAGAGAGAGAGAGAGAGAGAGAGAGAGAGAGUGAGUGAGAGAGUGAGUUUGGGAGAACAGACUUGUUUUCUGCCAGGACCUCCUUCCUGUUCCCUCUUAGGCAUGGGGAGCGGAGCGACAGACGGAGAGAGGCUUGAGGACACAAAGGAGGAAGCGUGCCAUUGCCAAGACCCCAAGGAAGAAGGACAGAGAGCGCUGGCAGUCCUGUCUGGCCCCCAGCCAGUUUCCUGCUGAAGAUGGCCAAAUCCUCUUGCCUGGUCUGUGCUGCUCAUCUGGGUCCUGUAACGCCGCUGCCCCAUUCCAUCUGGAACCCCGACCCCACUUCCUGUUCCUCCACUGCUUCCCCCAGCCCCAGGAGACUCUGGUUCGGCCAGACUGGAAGCAGACGAAUCGCUGAGAUCCCCUGCAGAUGGACUGCAAGCCUCGCUCUCUGACCUGCACCACCCGCUUUUUGAGUCCCACCUCCUCGGAGAUGCAGUCGAGCAUCUUGCGCGUUGGGUUGGAGUCUUGCAUGUACCAACGGUACAGGAUCUCCAGCUGCUCGGGCAGGAUGGUGGCUUUCCCUUCCUAUGGAAGCUAACAUGUUCCGGGGGGUUACUUUCUUCAGAGAUUUCUCACCACCUGAUAUUUCCUGGUUUACUUACUUCUCCCUUCUAGACGAUGAGGCAGCCAAGAAACAGGUUGAGUGAGCUGCUAACUGUCACACAACUCCAAGGAGGGGAAACCAGAGGACUGGCGGGGCACAGAGACCUGGGCCCUCCAUCUACCUGGAUCGUCCCUCAGACCCAGGAAAGGCCAAAUGAGCCUCCAGAGGUCUAGCAGUCAGAAUUCUGGGGCUCCCUCCAGCUACUAGAAACGCCAGGCCUCCCACGCUGUUCCCAGCCUUUUUACCUUGAUUACCACACCUUCCUCCCCCUCCGCAACCCCCCCCCCACCCCGCUUCCCAUCCCCACCAAACUCACCAGUUCCCCAUGCUUCACCAUCCCAUACUUUUCCCAAUGUCCCAAGUGGUUUGCAUCCACUCCAGGUCUUAAUUACCAGCCAAUCUCUAAUGAUUAAACCUUUAGCGUUCAAGCCCAUGCUUCCAGAAGGGAUGUGGUCUCCUUCCUUCCUUGGGCCACCGCUAACGCUCACCUUCAGAUUCUUUGAUUAGGAAUGGGUCUUCGGCCUGGCCCCACCCAGCCUGCAGGCCCCCUUUCCCACUUCCCCCCCUCCUCCUAGGGGGCUAGCCAGGCGUGAAGUCAGAGCCAUUAAGUAGCUCCGCGUGGGGCUGGAUCAGCAUGCUAA